ACAACUCAAUAGUCAUAUGAGGAUUCUCGAGUUAGUCCCAUGGUCUGUGAGCUUGCAAUGUUUCCGGCUCUGAGUCUGCGGGUUGGGAAGUUCCUAUAACUCGGACUAUCUCUGCUCACUCAGUCGCUUGAGUUGACUUGUGGAGUUGUCGUUGCCUACGAAAUUGUAAGUUAUAA